AUUUUUUCACCCUGUAGAUCUCAUUCUCACUAGAGAAUAAUUUCUAUAUUAUGCUCAGGCUCUUCUGAGCUGUGAAGGGGCCCAGAUUUAGGGGCUGUUCUUAACACCCUAAAUGUGCCAGGACAAGUCAUUAAGGUGGUCCUGCCAGGACACAGCCAUCAAAAGCAGCAAUCUGCUUCUUGCCAGAAAAUCUUGUGCCUCUGCAGAGCCUUUUCCGGAAUGAACCACACCAUGCUGAGAAAUGGAGAAAGAGACCACCUACUGCAUUUCUGUCCCUUGCUGAAAAAGACACUCUGUCAGAGAAUCUUCUAGCAAACUUCAAA
rnacentral:lncRNA from 1 species